rnacentral:rRNA from 1 species
UACGUAGGGGGCAAGCGUUGUCCGGAAUCAUUGGGCGUAAAGCGCGCGUAGGCGGCCCGGUAAGUCCGCUGUAAAAGUCCAGGGCUCAACCCUGGAAAGCCGGUGGAUACUGUCGGGCUAGAGUCCGGAAGAGGCGAGUGGAAUUCCUGGUGUAGCGGUGGAAUGCGCAGAUAUCAGGAGGGACACCGAUGGCGAAGGCAGCUCGCUGGGACGGUACUGACGCUGAGACGCGAAAGCGUGGGGAGCGAACAGG